rnacentral:rRNA from 1 species
GAUUAACGCUAGCGGCAGGCCUAAUACAUGCAAGUCGAACGGUAACAUGGGUAGCAAUAUCUGAUGACGAGUGGCGCACGGGUGCGUAACGCGUAUGUAAUCUACCUCUAACUGGGGGAUAGCCUUCCGAAAGGAAGAUUAAUACCGCAUAAUAUAAUGAAGAGGCAUCUUUUUGUUAUCAAAACUCUGGUGGUUAGAGAUGAACAUGCGUGACAUUAGCUAGUUGGUGAAGUAAUAGCUCACCAAGGCUAUGAUGUUUAGGGGUCCUGAGAGGGUGGUCCCCCACACUGGUACUGAGACACGGACCAGACUCCUACGGGAGGCAGCAGUGAGGAAUAUUGGUCAAUGGGCGCAAGCCUGAACCAGCCAUCCCGCGUGCAGGAAGACGGCCCUAUGGGUUGUAAACUGCUUUUCCAGGGAGAGAAACUUACGCACGUGUUGCGUGACUGACGGUACCCUGGGAAUAAGCAUCGGCUAACUCCGUGCC